AUUGAACGCUGGCGGCAGGCUUAACACAUGCAAGUCGAGCGGGGAAGGGUAGCUUGCUACCUGACCUAGCGGCGGACGGGUGAGUAAUGCUUAGGAAUCUGCCUAUUAGUGGGGGACAACAUUCCGAAAGGAAUGCUAAUACCGCAUACGCCCUACGGGGGAAAGCAGGGGAUCUUCGGACCUUGCGCUAAUAGAUGAGCCUAAGUCAGAUUAGCUAGUUGGUGGGGUAAAGGCCUACCAAGGCGACGAUCUGUAGCGGGUCUGAGAGGAUGAUCCGCCACACUGGGACUGAGACACGGCUCAGACUCCUACGGGAGGCAGCAGUGGGGAAUAUUGGACAAUGGGCGCAAGCCUGAUCCAGCCAUGCCGCGUGUGUGAAGAAGGCCUUUUGGUUGUAAAGCACUUUAAGCGAGGAGGAGGCUACUUGGAUUAAUACUCUAGGAUAGUGGACGUUACUCGCAGAAUAAGCACCGGCUAACUCUGUGCCAGCAGCCGCCGCCGUAA
rnacentral:rRNA from 1 species